UCUCAUAUCAGACGUGUGUUAUAAAUGUCCUCCCAUCUCUCAUAUCAGAAGUGUGUUAUAAAUGUCCUCCCAUCUCUCAUAUCAGAUGUGUUAUAAAUGUCCUCCCAUCUCUCAUAUCAGACGUGUUAUAAAUGUCCUCCCAUCUCUCAUAUCAGAUGUGUUAUAAAUGUCCUCCCAUCUCUCAUAUCAGACGUGUGUUAUAAAUGUCCUCCCAUCUCUCAUAUCAGACGUGUGUUAUAAAUGUCCUCCCAUCUCUCAUAUC
rnacentral:lncRNA from 13 species